UACAGAGGUCCCAAGCGUUGUUCGGAUUCAUUGGGCGUAAAGGGUGCGUAGGCGGCGAGGCAAGUCGGAUGUGAAAUCCCGGAGCUCAACUCUGGAACUGCAUUCGAUACUGCCUUGCUAGAGUACUGGAGAGGGAACUGGAAUUUACGGUGUAGCAGUGAAAUGCGUAGAUAUCGUAAGGAAGACCAGUGGCGAAGGCGAGUUCCUGGACAGUUACUGACGCUGAGGCACGAAGGCUAGGGGAGCAAACGGGAUUAGAAACCCCCGUAGUCC
rnacentral:rRNA from 1 species